rnacentral:lncRNA from 1 species
AAGUUCUGAGGGUACCCCUCACUCAAGCUCCAGGCGUCAGGAAAAGAACAUUCCACGAAGUCCAUCUGGAAGACGGUCCUUUCCCUGCUGCCCCCAGAAAGAAUACACAGAAUGGUUCCUUCCCCACCUAUUAUCCUUGGGAAAAGAAGUGUCAUUUUACAUUAGAGUCCUCCCAGAACAGCGCCUGCCGCCUUGAUGAUGACGACGAUUGUUAAUUCUGAGAUGGAGUCUUGAUCUAUCACCUAUGCUGGAG